UGGCUCAGGACGAACGCUGGCGGCGUGCCUAAUACAUGCAAGUCGAGCGGACAGAUGGGAGCUUGCUCCCUGAUGUUAGCGGCGGACGGGUGAGUAACACGUGGGUAACCUGCCUGUAAGACUGGGAUAACUCCGGGAAACCGGGGCUAAUACCGGAUGGUUGUUUGAACCGCAUGGUUCAAACAUAAAAGGUGGCUUCGGCUACCACUUACAGAUGGACCCGCGGCGCAUUAGCUAGUUGGUGAGGUAACGGCUCACCAAGGCAACGAUGCGUAGCCGACCUGAGAGGGUGAUCGGCCACACUGGGACUGAGACACGGCCCAGACUCCUACGGGAGGCAGCAGUAGGGAAUCUUCCGCAAUGGACGAAAGUCUGACGGAGCAACGCCGCGUGAGUGAUGAAGGUUUUCGGAUCGUAAAGCUCUGUUGUUAGGGAAGAACAAGUACCGUUCGAAUAGGGCGGUACCUUGACGGUACCUAACCAGAAAGCCACGGCUAACUACGUGCCAGCAGCCGCGGUAAUACGUAGGUGGCAAGCGUUGUCCGGAAUUAUUGGGCGUAAAGGGCUCGCAGGCGGUUUCUUAAGUCUGAUGUGAAAGCCCCCGGCUCAACCGGGGAGGGUCAUUGGAAACUGGGGAACUUGAGUGCAGAAGAGGAGAGUGGAAUUCCACGUGUAGCGGUGAAAUGCGUAGAGAUGUGGAGGAACACCAGUGGCGAAGGCGACUCUCUGGUCUGUAACUGACG
rnacentral:rRNA from 1 species